GACGAACGCUGGCGGCGUGCUUAACACAUGCAAGUCGAACGGAAAGGCCCUGCGUUUGUUGGGUGCUCGAUUGGCGAACGGGGGAGUAACACGUGUGUAUCCUGCCCUUGUCUUUGUGAUAACUUCACGAAACUGGGGCUAAUACCGGGUAGGAUCUCCUGCUGCAUGUUGUUGGUUGGUAAGUUUCGGCGGUUGGGGAUGGACUCGCGGCUUAUCAGCUUGUUGGUGUGGUAGUUGCUUACCAAGGCUUUGACGGGUAGCCGGCCUGAGAGGGUGACCGGCCACAUUGGGCCUGAGGUACGGCCCAGACUCCUACGGGAGGCAGUAGUGGGGAAUAUUGCAGAAUGGGCGGAAGCCUGAUGCAGAAACGCCGCGUGCGGGAUGAUGGCCUUCUGGUUGUAAACAGAUUUCGAAUGUGACGAAGAGUGCGUGACGGUAAUGGGUAAAGAAGCCACGGCUAACUACGUG
rnacentral:rRNA from 1 species